GGGCUGUUAGCUCAGUUGGUAGAGCAGCGGACUCUUAAUCCGUAGGUCGAGUGUUCGAGCCACUCACAGCCCA
rfam:Bordetella flabilis strain AT10664, complete genome.